rnacentral:rRNA from 1 species
GUUAAUAGCGGGCUUCGUUUCGACCGUUAGCUGCAGAAGAAGCACCGGCUAACUCCGUGCCAGCAGCCGCGGUAAUACGGAGGGUGCGAGCGUUAAUCGGAAUUACUGGGCGUAAAGCGCAUGCAGGUGGUUUGUUAAGUCAGAUGUGAAAGCCCGGGGCUCAACCUCGGAAUUGCAUUUGAAACUGGCAGACUAGAGUACUGUAGAGGGGGGUAGAAUUUCAGGUGUAGCGGUGAAAUGCGUAGAGAUCUGAAGGAAUACCGGUGGCGAAGGCGGCCCCCUGGACAGAUACUGACACUCAGAUGCGAAAGCGUGGGGAGCAAACAGGAUUAGAUACCCUGGUAGUCCA